rnacentral:pre_miRNA from 1 species
AGUGGAAUAGCUGGAUCAAAUGGUGGUUCCAUUCCCAGUUUUCUGAGGAAUCUCCAUACCGUUUUCCAUAGUGGUUGCACCAAUUUGCAGUUCCACCAGCAAU